UAAGAGACAGCAGUAGCCGCGGGAAUACGUAGGUCCCGAGCGUUGUCCGGAUUUAUUGGGCGUAAAGCGAGCGCAGGCGGUUAGAUAAGUCUGAAGUUAAAGGCUGUGGCUUAACCAUAGUACGCUUUGGAAACUGUUUAACUUGAGUGCAAGAGGGGAGAGUGGAAUUCCAUGUGUAGCGGUGAAAUGCGUAGAUAUAUGGAGGAACACCGGUGGCGAAAGCGGCUCUCUGGCUUGUAACUGACGCUGAGGCUCGAAAGCGUGGGGAGCAAACAGGAUUAGAUACCCCAGUAGUCCCUGUCUCUUAUACA
rnacentral:rRNA from 1 species